AUCCAGCUGACGAGUCCCAAAUAGGACGACAUGCGCGUUCUGGUU
rnacentral:hammerhead_ribozyme from 1 species